UGCGUAGGCGGAAUAUUAAGUCAGUGGUGAAAUCCUGCGGCUCAACCGUAGAACUGCCAUUGAUACUGAUAUUCUUGAAUGUAGUUGAGGUAGGCGGAAUGUGUAAUGUAGCGGUGAAAUGCUUAGAUAUUACACAGAACACCGAUUGCGAAGCCAGCUUACUAAACUAUGAUUGACGCUGAGGCACGAAAGCGUGGGGAGCGAACAGGAUUAGAUACCCUGGUAGUCC
rnacentral:rRNA from 1 species